AAGAUAAACAUCGAAAGAGGCACGAAACAUAGAAGAAACCCAGCGACACCAAAUACUUAAAAAAAGUAGAGUAAUAUGACAUCUCGUGAAGACUUGACGAUAAUUUGGUAACGAUAAACGGUUGGUCGACCUCUCCCCCCUGCCCCUCUCAAACAACCAACACACGGGGUAUUUAAAAAUUAAUUUCUCACCCGAAUCCAGUCCUAUGAGUGUUUCUGAAAUGCUCUUUCACCUCAUCAAAUUUGGUGUUUGAUAGCUCGCUGACCUUUGUAAAAUAUUUGACGAAAUUUUAAUAACAAGAUCUGUUCAUGAUCACUACAACAUGUUAAGGUACCUUCUUACGAAGUGGUGUUCUGUUGUAGCUGUGGCGAUAAAAAGUGAUGUUUAAUGACGAAGAGAAUUCACGAAUGUCGAAAACAUAAAGAACGCUGUGCUCACUCACCGUGCCUUUCGUGUCUUCUGAUCUUUCUUUUCGCCCAUUAGCUCGGCAAGAUUCGGACAAUAAUCGAUAAAACUUCGAGUUAACCUCGCAAGAAAAAGUGCGCUGUAGAAGAAAAGAUAAAACACAGCGAAUUAAUGCUACUGUAAAUCAUAUACCACAUUCGUCAUGUUUUUUUAGGUAGAAAGGGAAAAUGGGAUUAUGGAGAUAUUCCACAGAAAGUCUUGAUGCUUUGAAGAUUGAGUGAUAGUAUUUAAGUAAACCAUCGUUCAUUUCAACCUGUUACUUACUAAAGCUAAAUUCAACCUAUCUUUUUCAGGCACUUUCCUUCACUUCAAAGAUCGAGAUUUUCCAGAUUAAUGUGACAAGCAUUCAAUCGUCUCGUUUGCAGUUUAUCAUACAAACUUUCAAGCACUAUAAAUUCUAGUUGUUUUUAUUUCAUAUGAAAUCCAACUACAUACCCAAUAGACUAUUAAUACAAAUGGAAUGUACGUAUGAAUAAAAGAAAUUCCCGUGAAAAAAUCCUUAAAUUCACACGAA